rnacentral:rRNA from 1 species
CCUACGGGAGGCAGCAGUGGGGAAUAUUGCACAAUGGGCGCAAGCCUGAUGCAGCGACGCCGCGUGAGGGAUGACGGCCUUCGGGUUGUAAACCUCUUUCAGUAGGGAAGAAGCGAAAGUGACGGUACCUGCAGAAGAAGCGCCGGCUAACUACGUGCCAGCAGCCGCGGUAAUACGUAGGGCGCAAGCGUUAUCCGGAAUUAUUGGGCGUAAAGAGCUCGUAGGCGGUUUGUCGCGUCUGCCGUGAAAGUCCGGGGCUCAACUCCGGAUCUGCGGUGGGUACGGGCAGACUAGAGUGAUGUAGGGGAGACUGGAAUUCCUGGUGUAGCGGUGAAAUGCGCAGAUAUCAGGAGGAACACCGAUGGCGAAGGCAGGUCUCUGGGCAUUAACUGACGCUGAGGAGCGAAAGCAUGGGGAGCGAACAGGAUUAGAUACCCUGGUAGUCCAUGCCGUAAACGUUGGGCACUAGGUNUGGGGGACCAUUCCAGUUUUCCGCGCCGUAGCUAACGCNUAGUGCCGCCGCGGUAGUACGCGCGACGACGUAACGUAACGUAGAGUAGACGCGNGAGACGUGCGACGACGACGACGAGGGAGUUAGG